rnacentral:lncRNA from 1 species
CCUGGAUCUUAUUUAAAUCAUAUAAAACAUGUUCAUAUUUUAAUUUUAUUGAGUAAUUUAUAGUUCAAUUCAAACCACAAGUUCCAAUGCACCUUCUGUGGGCUGAGGUUUCUGUGUCAGUUCAGUUCUCUAAGUCAUUAAUAUGACAAUUCAUACCUGGUCCAUAUGUACACAGUUUGUGGGUUAGCUUAGAAGUUUGUGAACAACUUUGUGAGUUUGCUUUCCUGAGCUCUUUCUUCUCUUCAAUCUCCUCAAAACUUUCUGAUUCCCUGAGACUCUCCUUUUUGGUCUCCUAGCCAGAAACUACCUACUUCCAUGAUUAUGACACUGCCAGGGUCCAACAGUUAGAGGAUUGGGAAUAAAAAUAAUGGAUUUUGGCCCCACUUUCUUGCAGCUGCAGCUUAAAUGAAUCGAGAGGAAAAUUCCCUCCUUUAAUGUUUUGGCUCCUGUUGUUUGCCAAUACCCAUCACCAUUACUGCCACUGCCACAGCUGCAGGAUAGCAUAGAGGCUGGGGCACAAUAGAAAUGAGAAAGAAGUAGAAGGAACUAGGGUUUCCCUCUACUUUAUUAGUGUUAGGAGUUUCCUUUCCUGUUCCUUGAGCCAGUAUUAGCUGCUUUUGGAGGUUUAUAUGUACCACAAUGCUUAUUUUGGGAUUUCUGACUGGCUUGAUUUCUAGACAGAGAAACAGGAAGGGAAAAUUCUAAACUUACUGAUAGUUGGUGAUACCACGAACUCUGGUGUCCUUUCUUGCUGUCCUUGAUACUAUUUAAUUUUUUUUCUGGAACUGGGGCUUGAAUCCAGGACCAUUUUACCAUUGAGCUACAUCUUUAACCCUUUUUUAAAAUUUUGAGACAGGGUCUUGUUGAAUUAUUAAGAGGCUCACUAAUUUGCUCAGGCUGGCCUUGAACUUGCAAUCCUCCUGCUUCAGCCUCCUGAGUUACUGGGAUUAUGGAUGUGCCCAGCUUUUCUUUCUUUCUUUCUUUCUUUCUUUCUUUCUUUCUUUCUCUCUCUCUCUCUCUCUCUCCACACACACACACACACACACACACACAUAUAUAUAUAUCCCCCCCCAGCUACUCUCUCUUUACUUUUAACAGUCCUCAAAAAGAUGCUUCAUGCAUUCUUUCCAGGUUUCAUGAUUAAUUUCAGUGAGAGGAAAAGUCUGGCAUAUGUUUAUUCCAAUUUACUUUGGGCCAAAACUCAACUGUGCUCUUUAGAGUAAUCAUGGUUGGUCACAG